GGGGGGCUGGUCGGGUGGCCAAGGGGGCUCUAGUUACCCUAAAAGGAGAAACCCUCGGUUGCCGGGUUCAACUCCCGGGCUCCCCAC
rnacentral:tRNA from 1 species